rnacentral:rRNA from 1 species
GAAUUGUUCACAAUGGGCGCAAGCCUGAUGACGCAACGCCGCGUGGAGGAUGAAGGUCUUCGGAUUGUAAACUCCUGUUGCCCGGGACGAAAAGCUCCGACCUAACACGUCGGAGUCUGACGGUACCGGGUGAGGAAGCCCCGGCUAACUCUGGGCCAGCAGCCGCGGUAAUACAGAGGGGGCAAGCGUUGUUCGGAAUUACUGGGCGUAAAGGGCGCGUAGGCGGCCUGUUAAGUCAGACGUGAAAUCCCCGGGCUCAACCCGGGAACUGCGUCUGAUACUGGUAGGCUUGAAUCCGGGAGAGGGAUGCGGAAUUCCAGGUGUAGCGGUGAAAUGUGUAGAUAUCUGGAGGAACACCGGUGGCGAAGGCGGCAUCCUGGACCGGCAUUGACGCUGAGGCGCGAAAGCCAGGGGAGCAAACGGG